UAGGGAAUCUUCCACAAUGGACGCAAGUCUGAUGGAGCAACGCCGCGUGAGUGAAGAAGGUUUUCGGACCGUAAAGCUCUGUUGUUGGUGAAGAAGGAUAGAGGUAGUAACUGGCCUUUAUUUGACGGUAAUCAACCAGAAAGUCACGGCUAACUACGUGCCAGCAGCCGCGGUAAUACGUAGGUGGCAAGCGUUGUCCGGAUUUAUUGGGCGUAAAGCGAGCGCAGGCGGAAGAAUAAGUCUGAUGUGAAAGCCCUCGGCUUAACCGAGGAAUUGCAUCGGAAACUGUUUUCUUGAGUGCAGAAGAGGAGAGUAGAACUCCAUGUGUAGCGGUGGAAUGCGUAGAUAUAUGGAAGAAUACCAGUGGCGAAGGCGGCUCUCUGGUCUGCAACUGACGCUGAGGCUCGAAAGCAUGGGUAGCGAACAGGAUUAGAUACCCUGGUAGUCCAUGCCGUAAACGAUGAGUGCUAAGUGUUGGGAGGCUUCCGCCUCUCAGUGCUGCGGCUAACGCAUUAAGCACUCCGCCUGGGGAGUACGACCGCA
rnacentral:rRNA from 1 species